rnacentral:tRNA from 1 species
GGGGUUGUGGCUCAGUGGUAGAGCACUUGCCUGACACAUGCAAGGCACUGGGUUCAAUUCUCAGCACCA